GUUAGGGAUCAGGGCUUGAGGUUAGGGGUCGGGGUUAGGGGUCAGGGUUAGAGGUUAGGGGUCAGAGUUGGGUGUUAGGGGUCAGGGUUAGAGGUUAGGGGGCAGGGUUAGAGGUUAGGGGGCAGGGUUAGGGGGCAGGGGUCAGGGUUGGAGGUUAGGGGUCAGGGUUGCGGGUUAGGGGUCAGGGUUAGGGGUUAGGGGUCAGGGUUAGGGGUUAGGGGUCAGGGUUAUGGGUCAGGGUUAGGGGUUAGGAGUCAGCAUUGGAGGUUAGGGGUCACGGUUAGGGGGCAGGGGUCAGGGUUAGAGGUUAGGGGUCAGGGUUAGGGGUUAGGAGUCAGCAUUGGAGGUUAGGGGUCAGGGUUAGGGGUUAGGGGUCAGGGUUAGGGAUCAGGGUUUGAGGUUAGGGGUCGGGGUUAGGGGCCAGGGUUAGAGGUUAGAGGUCAGGGUUGGGGGUUAGGGGUCAGGGUUAGAAGUUAGGGGUCAGGGAUGGGGGUUAGGGGUCAGGGAUGGAGGUUAGGGGUCAGGGUUAGGGGUCAGGGCUUGAGGUUAGGGGUUAGGGUCAGGGGUCAGGGUUAGAGGUUAGGGGUCAGGGUCGGGGUUAGGGGUCAGGGUUGGGGGUCAGGGUUAGGGGUGGAGAUUGGAGGUUAGGGGUCACGGUUAGGGGUUAGGGGUCAGGGAUAGAGGUUAGGGGUCAGGGUCGGGGUUAAAGGUCAGGGUUGGGGUCAAAGGUCAGGGUUGUGGGUCAAAGGUCAUGGUUGGGGUCAAAGGUCAUGGUUGGGGUCAAAGGUCAGGGUUGGGGUCAAAGGUCAGGGGUCGGGGUCAGAGGUUGCCGUGUCUGUGUGUCUGCGUGUCCCCGUGUCCGUGUGGGUCAGCUCUGUGCUCCGUGGGGUCGCUCUGGGUCCCUCUGUGUUUCUGUGUUGUCCCUCUGGGUCACUGUGGGUCCCGCUGUGGGUCACGCUGUGGGUCUGCCCCAUAGGAUGAGGACGGGCCGUGGUGGCAGCAGCGCUAGAGUUCUACGCGGUCUAUGUCUGUCUCUCUAUGGGUCUCUAUGGGUCUCUAUGGGUCUCUAUGGGUCUCUAUGGGUCCCUAUGGGUCCCUAUGGGUCCCUAUG
rnacentral:lncRNA from 1 species